rnacentral:rRNA from 1 species
CUCUCGGGGUUACAGCCUUGCUGAAUUAUUCACCCUUGUCUUUUGCGUACUUCUUGUUUCCUUGGUGGGUUCGCCCACCACUAGGACAAACAUAAACCUUUUGUAAUUGCAAUCAGCGUCAGUAACAAAUUAAUAAUUACAACUUUCAACAACGGAUCUCUUGGUUCUGGCAUCGAUGAAGAACGCAGCGAAAUGCGAUAAGUAGUGUGAAUUGCAGAAUUCAGUGAAUCAUCGAAUCUUUGAACGCACAUUGCGCCCUUUGGUAUUCCAAAGGGCAUGCCUGUUCGAGCGUCAUUUGUACCCUCAAGCUUUGCUUGGUGUUGGGCGUCUUGUCUCUAGCUUUGCUGGAGACUCGCCUUAAAGUAAUUGGCAGCCGGCCUACUGGUUUCGGAGCGCAGCACAAGUCGCACUCUCUAUCAGCAAAGGUCUAGCAUCCAUUAAGCCUUUUUUUCAACUUUUGACCUCGGAUCAGGUAGGGAUACCCGCUGAACUUAAGCAUAUCAAUAAGCCGGAGGAAA